rnacentral:lncRNA from 1 species
AUGGCGUUCCAAAUUUUCCUCGCAGCAGCACUCAUCUCCAUUGCAACCGCACAACAAUACACCUACAGAGCCCCACAGCCCUCCCAAAAAACCUACUCACAGGGAUCCCCAGGUUACUCCCAAAAGGCGGUCACCUACACUCAGCCAGCCGCCGCCUACGCUCCUGCCCCCGCCUACGCUCCUGCCCCCGCCUACGCUCCCGCCCCCGCCUACGCUCCCGUCCCCGCCGCCGCAUACCCAGCUCCGGCAUCCGCCUAUCCCCAAGACUACAGCCCAGGCGCAGCCUCGUCCUCGCAGUUCAUUUCAUUCUUCGGCGGCCACGGACAGCUGUACAACGAGCACCCCCAGGCAGCAGCCCCGGUUGCCGCCUACCAGCCUGAAGCCGCCCAGUCUGACGGACAAUCCGCCUACGGCCAACAAUCCGCCUACGGUGGUCAGUCUGUGGAAGAGUCUUACGGAGAACAGGGCCCAGCUGUAUUCUCCGCCCCCACCUACUCCUCCGGAUCUUUCAAGCCCGCCGCAUCUAGCGUCGGAUCCGCCUACAAGUCUCAAUCUGGUGGCUCCUCCGCCUACUCAGCGCCCACCUACAAGCGGGCGUCGCCGAAGACUCCCUCCUACAAAGGAUCCGCUGCCUCUUCCUCUGGGGAAUCUGGAGCUUCGUACAGCACCCAGACUGAGUCUUCUUACGGAGGAUCUUACGGAGAACAAUCUGGCGGUUCUUACAAAGGACAGUCUGGACCUUCAUCUGUUUACAGCAGUCAGGCUGCAGGUAGUGAAGGUGCCGGGUACAGCCCACAGUCCGGCUACUCGUCAGAACAGCAGGCGAAAUCAGACCCAUCUGCAGUUCAUAGUUCCUACGAGUUCACUAUUGGAUCUGCCCACUAAAAACUUUCAAGUAGAUAAACUCUUUAGAGGUUGAGUAAUGACUGUCUGAGUUCCACUGGUGGUGAUAUAUUGGCGAGCAUCCAACCUGCCACCACUUCAAGUGCGAUACUUAAUUUUCUGCCAAUUUCUGUUCAAAGUAUUGCACCCCCACGUCUUUCAAGUGUGCCUUCAUCACUAGGUCUAUAAAUUAGUGUAUUUUCCGAAGAAAAAUACAAUAUUUUUGUAAGUUUCAUUUUGCUAAUGACCAAAGAAUUGAAAAAAAAUUUUAAUAAAUAACUCUUUGUUUUCUUGUUUUCCAAUUUUUUUGGUUUCAUUGUAUAUUUUACCUUUACCACCUGCACUUUAAAUAUUUCCCUGCUGCUUUUUACCGAAUGCAGAUGUUCAAUUUUUUUUUUUUUUUUUUUUUUUGAAAUCAAUUUCUCUACAAUGAAAUUGUGAAAUUUUUUUUUUUUAAGAAGACAUAAAACGUUCAAUUUGCGGACACCUAAAGUGAAGAAUACAUUUCUCUUUCGCAUUUGCAUUAAAAAGGCACUCAUUCGUGAAUUGCUGGUAACUUU